UAGCAGCACGUAAAUAUUGGCGUUAAGAUUCUGAAAUUACCUCCAGUAUUGACUGUGCUGCUGAA
rnacentral:pre_miRNA from 1 species